GGGGCAGUAUUGAGUAGCUUGGAUGUAUAAGAUGCCCAGAGUAAACCGCCUGCUACUCAGGCCCAGAAGCUAAGAUAUGCAUAUUAGAUUUGGAUAGAAAACACUCUGAAGUUUAUAAAACUGUUUGAAUUAUGUCUGUGAGUAUAACAGAACUCAUAUGGCAGGCAAAAACCUGAGAAAAAAUCCAACCAGGAAGUGGGAAAUCUGAGGUUUGUAGUUUUUCAACUCAUUGCCUAUCGAAUAUACAGUGUCUAUGGGGUCAUAUUGCACUUCCUAAGGCUUCCACCAGAUGUCAACAGUCUUUAGAACCUUGUUUCAGGCUUCUACUGUAAAGGAGGAGGGAAUGAGAGCUCUUUCAAUCAGGUGUCUGCCAUGAGCUGAUCACGCGCGCUCCCGUGAGAGGUAGCUACGUUCCUUUUCCUUUCUAAAGACAAAGGAAUUCACCGGUUUAAACAUUAUUGAAGAGUUAUGUUAAAAACAUCCUAAAGAUUGAUUCUAUACAUUGUUUGACAUGUUUCUACGAACUGUAAUGGAAUUUGUUGACAUUUCGUCUGACCUGCGCGUCGUGAAUUUGGAUUUGUGAACUCAAGGCGCGAACAAAAAGGAAGUAUUUGGACAUAAAUUAUGGACUUUUUUCGAACAAAACAAACAUUUAUUGUGGAACUGGCAUUCCUGGGAGUGCAUUCUGAUGAAGAUGAUCAAAGGUAAGUGAAUAUUUAUAAUGCGAUUUCUGACUUUUACUGACUCCACAUCAUGGCGGAUAUCUGUAUGGCUUGUUUUUGUGUCUGAGCGCCGUAACCAGAUUAUUGCAUGGUGUGCUUUUUCGGUAAAGCUUUUUUGGAAAUCUGACACAGCGGUUGCAUUAAGGAGAAGUUUAUCUAAAGUUCCAUGCAUAAAACUUGUAUUUUCAUCAACAUUUAUGAUGAGUAUUUCUGUAAAUUGAUGUGGCUCUCUGCAAAAUCACUGGAUGUUUUUGGAAGCAAAACAUUACUGAACGUAGCACGCCAAUGUAAACUGAGAUUUAUCGAACAAAACAUACAUGUAUUGUGUAACAUGAAGUCCUAUGAGUGUCAUCUGAUGAAGAUCAUCAAAGGUUAGUGAUACAUUUUUAUCUCUAUUUCUGCUUUUUGUGACUCCUCUCUUUGGCUGGAAAAAUGGCUGUGUAUUUCUGUGACUAGGUACUGACCUAACAAUCAUUUGGUGUGCUUUCGUCGUAAAGCCUUUUUGAAAUCGGACACUGUGGUGGGAUUAACAACAAGUUUAUCUUUAAAAUUGUGUAAAAUACUUGUAUGUUUGAGGAAUUUUAAUUAUGAGAUUUCUGUUGUUUGAAUUUGGCGCCCUGCACUUUCACUGGCUGUUGUCAUAUCGAUCCCGGUAGCGGGAUCUAAGCCAUAAGAAGUUUUAAAAUCCUCGCAAAAAUCCAAUAAGAUUGUUUUUGGGAAACGAUAUUUGACGAGCCAAUCUGUACUUUCUUUAAAAAAAACUCCCACCUGUAGCUAUAAACCUUCUCUCUGCAAAAUGCAGCAUGUGCCAAAACUUCCAACAGAGCAAGAUCAGCCUCUCAUGAAAUGUUCCAUUAUCUCUCCCCAUUUCCUCAAUCUUUUACAGUACUUCAACAAUGCUUUCACUUACACACGUGCCCCUAAUUUAACAAAUUACUGUACUUUAUAUGGGAUAUUAUUGUAACAAAUGCACUGAUGUGGUCAAAUUACUAUAUAUGAUAUAGCCUGUCAAGAUAUGUUGAAUUCACAAUUGAAAUACAAUGACAUCGAAAAAAAUAUGUAAUUAUUACUCUCACAAUUUCACACAUUUUCAACAUAUUUUCCCCAUUCAAAGCUUGACGAGCAGUUCUCUUAUUCCACCACAUGGCAUUGUGUAUGCAUGGUCAUGGCUGUGCAUACAUUUAUGCAAGCUCUCAAGCAAACGCUCAUAUUGAUACAUUUAACACUGUGUGGAAAUGAUCCCACGCAUGGUUUACGAACAGAUUUGUGCCUACGCAUUAUUGAUAAAUGAGGCUCCUGGCCUUUUGAUAACAGAGGAGGGUUAAAGACCUUGCUUCUCUUGUAUGGAACAUGUUAGAUUUUUUUCAUUUAGGAGAAAACAAUGCACUAAUGGUGAUAAACUGAUGUGAUCUGAAAUGUGCUCCUUUAAAAGUUUGGGGUACAGGUUUACAACAAGAAGGAGACUGUGGCCUUCAUGGUAUAAUAUUGACAUGUAAUUAGUUUGUUUGUAUAUCUAUUACAAAGAGGCUAUAGAACGAGAAUCCCUGAGCCAGACUGACUGUGGGAAUAGAAUGUCUUUUAGAAUGUACAUUGCCUCAUGUACCUGUCAUACGUGUCAUUUCCGGUCACAACUUGCAGACUUGUUUACGUGCUACUGUGUGUUUUGUUGCUAACCUUACUUUGCUACCUGACAACUUUACGUUUUUUUACUUUUUAAUUACCGUUUAUAUUUUUAGUUUUUCCCCUCACUCAACUUUUUUUUAUUCAACUUUUUCACUCCGGACGCUUUAUCUGGACGUGGUUCGUCAGGACCUCCAACAGUAACAUUAACAUGAUGCCUUCUUUUUUAUUUUAUUUAUAUUUUGAAUUUUACCCCCUUUUUCUCCCCAAUUUCGUGGUAUCCAAUUGUUAGUAGCUACUAUCGUGUCUCAUCGCAACUCCCGUACGGGCUCGGGAGAGACGAAGGUUGAAAGUCAUGCGUCCUCCGAUACGCAACCCAACCAAGCCGCACUGCUUCUUGACACAGUGCGCAUCCAACCCCCGGAAGCCAAGCGCACCAAUGUGUCGGAGGAAACACUGUGCACCUGGCAACCUUGGUUAGUGCGCACUGCGCCCGGCCCGCCGCUGGUGCGCGAUGAGACAAGGAUUUCCCUACCGGCCAAAUCCUCCCUAACCCGGACGACGCUAGGCCAAUUGUGCGUCGCCCCACGGACCUCCCGGUCACGGCCGGUUACGACAGAGCCUGGGCGCGAACCCAGAGUCUCUGGUGGCACAGCUGGUGCUGCAGUAUAGCGCCCUUAACCACUGCGCCACCCAGGAGGCCCCAACAUGAUGAGCUCUACAGCAGAAUCUCACAACUCAACCGCUGGUUGAAAACUGUUUUCUGCCCCUGCCAAAAGAUAGAAUUUGUAGAUAAUUGGCCCUCUUUCUGGGACUCACCCACAAACAGGACCAAGCCUGGCCUGUUGAGGCGUGACGGACUCCAUCCUAGCUGGAGGAGUGCUCUCAUCUUAUCUACGAACAUAGACAGGACUCUAACUCCCCUAACACCACAAUGAAAUAGGGUGCAGGCCAGGCAGCAGGCUGUUAGCCAGCCUGCCAGCUUAGUGGAGUCUGCCACUAGCACAGUCAGUGUAGUCAACUCAGCUAUCCCCAUUGAGACCAUGUCUGUGCCUCGAUGUUCGCCUUAGCAAUCUCACUAGAAUAAAGACCUCCUUCAUUCCUACCAUUAUUGAAAGAGAUCGUGAUACCUCACAUCUCAAAAUAGGGCUACUUAAUGUUAGUUCCCUCACUUCCAAGGCAGUUUGUCUCUGUGAAUGGUUUGUCCUCUGACAAAUCAACUGUAAAUUUCGGUGUUCCUCAAGGUUCCGUUUUAGGACCACUAUUGUUUUCACUAUAUAUUUUACCUCUUGGGGAUGUUAUUCAAAAACAUAAUGUAAACUUUCACUGCUAUGCGGAUGACACACAGCUGUACAUUUCAAUGAAACAUGGUGAAGCCCCAAAAUUGCCCUCGCUAGAAGCAUGUGUUUCAGACAUAAGGAAGUGGAUGGCUGCAAACUUUCUACUAUUAAACUCGGACAAAACAGAGAUGCUUGUUCUAGGUCCCAAGAAACAAAGAGAUCUUCUGUUGAAUCUGACAAUUAAUCUUAAUGGUUGUACAGUCGUCUCAAAUAAAACUGUGAAGGACCUCGGCGUUACUCUGGACUCUAAUCUAUCUUUUGACAAACAUAUCAAGACUCUUUCAAGGACAGCUUUUUUUCCAUCUACGUAACAUUGCAAACAUCAGAAAUGUUCUGCCCAAAAAGGAUGCAGAAAAAUGUAUCCAUGCUUUUGUUACUUCUAGGUUAGACUACUGCAAUGCUCUACUUUCCGGCUACCCGGAUAAAGCACUAAAUACACUUCAGUUAGUGCUAAAUACGGCUGCUAGAAUCCUGACUAGAACCCCAAAAUUUGAUCAUAUUACUCCAGUGCUAGCCUCCCUACACUGGCUUCCUGUUAAGGCAAGGACUGAUUUCAAGGUUUUACUGCUAACCUACAAAGCAUUACAUGAGCUUGCUUCUACCGAUCUUUCCGAUUUGGUCCUGCAGUACAUACCUACACGCACGCUACGUCACAAGACGCAGGCCUCCUAAUUGUCCCUAGAAUUUCUAAGCAAACAGCUGGAGGCAGGGCUUUCUCCUAUAGAGCUCCAUUUUUUGGAAUGGUCUGCUUACCCAUGUGAGUGACGCAGACUUGGUCUCAACCUUUAAGUCUUUAUUGAAGACUCAUCUCUUCAGUAGGUCCUAUGAUUGAGUGUAGUCUGGCCCAGGAGUGUGAAGGUGAACGGAAAGGCACUGGAGCAACGAACCGCCCUUGCUAUCUCUGCCUGGCCGGUUCCCCUCUCUCCACUGGGAUUCUCUGCCUUUAACCCUAUUACAGGAGCUGAGUCAGUGGCUAACUGGUGCUCUUCCAUGCCGUCCCUAGGAGGGGUGCGUGACUUGAGUGGGUUGAGUCACAUUGGGUCUUCCUGUCUGGGUUGGCGUCCCCCCUUGGGUUGUGCCGUGGCGGAGAUAUUUUUGGGCUAUACUCGGCCUUGUCUCAGGAUGGACCUAAGCCCUACGACCAUGCCUCAGGACAACCUGGCAUGAUGACUCCUUUUUGUCCCCAGUCCACCUGGCCGUGCAGCUGCUCCAGUUUCAACCCUGACCUGUUCACUGUGAUUACUAUUAUUUGACCAUGCUGGUCAUUUAUGAAUAUUUGAACAUCUUGGCCAUGUUCUGUUAUAAUCUCCACCCGGCACAGCCAGAAGAGGACUGGCCACCCCUCAUAGCCUGGUUGCUCUUUAGGUUUCUUCCUAGGUUUUGGCCUUUCUAGGGAGAUUGUCCUAGCCACUGUGCUUCUACACCUGCAUUGAUUGCUGAUUGGGGUUUUAGGCUGAGUUUCUGUACAGCAUUUUGAUAUAUCAGCUGAUGUUAGAAGGGCUAUAUAAAUCAAUUUGAUGUCAAGGUCCAAAGGACCACACCUCAUUAUGGUAGUCCGCAGCAUUGUCCUAAUAAAGCAAUAGUGAAACCAA